AGUGAACGCUGGCGGUAGGCCUAACACAUGCGAGUCGAUCGGCAGCACAGUAAGAGCUUGCUCUUACGGGUGGCGAGUGGCGGACGGGUGAGGAAUACAUCGGAAUCUACUUUUUCGUGGGGGAUAACGUAGGGAAACUUACGCUAAUACCGCAUACGACCUACGGGUGAAAGCAGGGGAUCUUCGGGCCUUGCGCGAUUGAAUGAGCCGAUGUCGGAUUAGCUAGUUGGCGGGGUAAAGGCCCACCAAGGCGACGAUCCGUAGCUGGUCUGAGAGGAUGAUCAGCCACACUGGAACUGAGACACGGUCCAGACUCCUACGGGAGGCAGCAGUGGGGAAUAUUGGACAAUGGGCGCAAGCCUGAUCCAGCCAUACCGCGUGGGUGAAGAAGGCCUUCGGGUUGUAAAGCCCUUUUGUUGGGAAAGAAAAGCAGCAGGUUAAUACCCCGCUGUUCUGACGGUACCCAAAGAAUAAGCACCGGCUAACUUCGUG
rnacentral:rRNA from 1 species